UUUAUUUAUUUAUUUAUUUUUAUUAAAAUGCACUCCCUUUAACAGAACAAAGGAGAAAUGGAACCCCCUUUUUUUUUUUUUUUGCCCUUUUGCUUUUCCUUUAUUACCAAUCUUUUUUUCUUGGAUUCUUUAUCACCACUUUGCUUUCUGCGCUUGUGCUUUCUCUGUUAAGUGAGCUUUACUUUCCCAAAAUGAAAAAUUUCUAUCAAGAGCAUCUUAUUAUUCUUCCAAUUCAAUCCCACCUUAUAGUUAAGCUUCAAUCUUAUUAAGUACCUGUACUUAAAUAGAAUCUUUAAGGUUGAUAGCAUAAGCUUAUUCUUUUCUAUUACUUUGGUUAUAACCCAUGCUUCCACAGAUAUAUGUUCUGCUAACCUUUGUUUUUCCUUGUCUUCACUCACCAACCAGGGAAACACCAAGAACUGCUGAGGCAAUAUCAAUGAAGCUCCCAUCAUUUAUUUCUCAACUUGCUCUCUUCAUAUUGGCUAUUGUUCCCCAGAUUAUUGCUGAUCUGAACUCAGACACACAAGCACUUCUUGAUUUUGCUGCUGCUGUCCCACAUGUCCGACAACUUAACUGGAAUAGUUCUAUCCCAGUUUGCUCUUCUUGGUUUGGAAUUUCGUGUAAUUCAAACGGAACCCGUGUGAUCGCUGUCCAUCUUCCAGGUGUUGGACUCUAUGGCCCUAUCCCAGCCAAGACCAUAGGAAGGCUUGAUGCUCUUAGGAUCCUCAGCCUACGAUCCAACAACCUUAACGGAAAUCUUCCUUCUGAUAUUCCCUCCAUUCCUUCCCUUCAAUACCUAUACCUCCAACAAAAUAAUUUCUGUGGUGCCUUCCCUGCCUUGUUCUCUCUUCAACUAAAUGUCCUAGACCUUGCUUUUAACUCCUUCACUGGUAGCAUUCCGCCCGCUGUUCAGAAUCUGAGAAAACUCACUACAUUAUACCUCCAAAACAAUUCAUUCUCUGGAGCCAUACCCAAUAUCAGCCUCCCAAAACUGAAGAUUUUGAAUUUGAGCUUUAACGGCUUUAAUGGCUCAAUUCCGCACUCUCUCCAAAAGUUCCCUUAUCAUUCAUUUGACGGAAACUCUUUACUAUGUGGACCACCUCUCAAGAAUUGCUCCACAAUCUCCCCUUCCCCUUCCCCUUCCCCAUCUUACUUUGCUAGCUCACCAGCCAAAUCUCAAAUUCAGGCUGCCACUUCAAAGAAGAAACUAGGAUCAAAUUCUAUAAUUGCUAUAGCUAUCGGGGGAUCGGCAGUCGUAUUUCUCAUAUUUCUAGCCAUCUUUGUGUGCUGUUUGAAAAGGAAAGACAACAGAAGCAGUGUGUUGAAAGGGAAAGCUGAGAGCGAAAAGCCCAAGGAUUUUGGGAGUGGUGUGCAAGAGCCUGAAAAGAACAAAUUGUUCUUCUUUGAAGGCUGUUCUUAUAACUUUGAUCUUGAGGAUUUGUUGAGAGCUUCAGCUGAAGUUCUUGGUAAAGGGAGCUACGGAACAGCCUAUAAGGCAGUUUUGGAGGAUGGGACAACAGUAGUGGUGAAAAGGUUGAAGGAAGUUGCGGUUGGAAAGAAGGAAUUUGAGCAGCAGAUGGAGGUUGUAGGGAGGGCUGGACAGCACUCAAAUGUUGUGCCACUCCGUGCUUAUUACUAUUCCAAGGAUGAGAAGCUUUUGGUUUACAACUACAUGCCAAUUGGAAGCUUCUCUGCACUCUUGCAUGGUACGCUUUCUUUUCUUACUCCAUUAUGAUCUACAAGAUUUGUUUUCUUUGCAUUAAUUUGUUGCUUCAUCUGUAAUAGAUUUAGAAACUUUUAUAUGGUACAGCACACUUGGGUUCUUAUGGUCUCACCUACAAAACGAAAACAACAUCUGUUAAUAAGUAUGGCAUUUCUAAGGUUAGAGAGUUUAGAAGCUGUUUAUGAUUCUGUUAAAAAUUUGUUUGGUCAGGUGAAAGUCAUUCCAUCACUGUAUUUAUCCUAGGCAAUUAAAGCUCCUAAGCAUACUGUUUAUGAGCACUGUAUGCUCAUGAAACAAGCAACUAAAAGAAUGCUCAAACAAUGGGGCAUCCUGCAGCCUACAUUCAAUAAUGUAUUAUCAUGUAUCGCGAAUGAGAUGUGAAAUUUCUCACAUGCUAGGAAAGUACAAGCCCUAGUCUAUCUUAAAAGAAUUAUAUGAACUGGAUUUUAUUGUGCAUCUGCAUUGCUGAACUGGCAUUUUAAUCAACUCACUCAUUUUCACUUUGUCAUCUGCAUCUUGGAGAAUUCUUGACGUGUGCACUCACUUUUGUCUCAGUUUACUCUCUGACACAAAUAUCAAAUAAUGAUUGUAUCUUCUGUAUGCAAAUAAUAGACAGCAGGGGAGCAGGAAGAAGCCCAUUGGAUUGGAAUGCAAGAGUGAAGAUCUGCCUUGGAGCUGCUAGGGGCAUUGCCCAUAUUCAUUAUGAAGAUGGUGUCGAAUGUGUCCAUGGUAACAUCAAGGCCUCCAAUGUGCUUCUAACAUCUGAUCUUGAUGGUCUCAUCUCUGAUUUUGGCUUGACUCCCCUUAUGAACUUCCCUGCAACUAUGUCUCGAACGAUUGGAUACUUAGCUCCUGAGGUUAUUGAAACACGAAAAGUGAACCAGAAGUCUGAUGUUUAUAGUUUUGGUGUUGUACUUCUUGAAAUGCUGACAGGGAAAGCCCCACUUCAAGCUCCAGGGCACAAUGAUGCGGUUGAUCUGCCAAGAUGGGUUCGGUCAGUGGUGAGGGAGGAAUGGACUGCAGAAGUGUUCGAUGUAGAGCUAAUGAAGUACCAAAACAUUGAAGAGGAGAUGGUGCAGAUGCUUCAAAUUGCAUUGGCAUGCGUGGCAAAGCUGCCGGACAUGCGUCCAACAAUGGAUGAAGUAGUGAGAGUGAUGGAGGGAAUUCGAAAAUCUGAGUCAAGGAACCAGCUGUCUCCUGAGGCUGGGUCUAAUGCCCAAACCCCAUGAGAGUCAAGUUGCUCCAAGGAAUCAAACAUAUUAGAUACUGUCUAAUAUGGAGCAUUCAUAUUUCAUUGCCAAGUAUUAGAUCCAGAUGUUAGGAAAAUAAGCUUCCUUUCCUUGCUCAUUUGCUAAUUUCCGAAUUAUGAUAUCAGAAAGCAUUAUUGAAUGAAUUAUCUUGAUCUACAGUUAUAAGCUUGAUUAGAAAGCACUAAAAACAGGAUUGCAUUGUAAAAUCCACACAAUACUGUUAUAGAGUGUGGUUUUAUCGGAAUUAGACUACAAACCUUCAAAGGUGGAAACAUUCAAAAGGAAAAUUGAUAUUGAGGAAAAGGUACCUUUCCUAUGGUUUUGAUUGAGGUUGCACAAGAUAAAGAAAGCAUCUUGUUAUGAAGGGUAAAUCGUCUUGGUUUUCUCUAAUUCAACAUCAACAAGCCUUCUCUUCGUAUAUGAAGAAGAAUUUAGUGCUCCUAUCGAUCAAACCAAUCCAAACACCAAGUUAGAAGGAUGAAUUCUUGUCAUAAAUCCUAUUGCUGUAGAUUCUGAAGGAUGCCAACAUCAUUUACUUCGAUUGAAAUUGUCCUUACUUGGCAGUGACAAAGCAAAGGCACAAAACAGGAUCCUCAAAAGAAUUGAAACCAAAGUUGAUGAAGUUGAAAUCAUAUCUAGACCAAGAUACAAUGCAUAUUCUGUAAUUUGAACUGCGUAGAGAAAGAUGAACACUAAUAGGUAUAAAUAUGAGAAGGGAUAAUCUUUACAUGAA
rnacentral:misc_RNA from 1 species